UCUUAGCGCUAAGGUUGUUUUGUACAACAGCACCCAGGUGUCUGGUGUAAUUAUGCUUAUAUAUAGUUGAUGUACAGGGUUUCAUCAAGGUACUGGUGUACUGGAUGAUGUGCGGUGUAAUCGCACAAGCGACAUCUUCAGGGGUAGACUGACAUUUAAUCUCAAAAUAUCAAUGUUUAAUUUAUAUACACAUUUAUCCAUGAAAUACAAAGUAGACAUGGUAGUGACUUGUUAUAGACUUUAGUUGGUGCAGUCUCUUGGGUGUUGGAGACAUUUUCAGGUGACGGUUGCAAUAAUAUGUUUCAUCAAUUUUUCAUUCAAAUAUAUUGACCCGUUUUCUGUUACAUUGACGGCUAUAACAAAUGGUAUAACGGGAUCUAUGAAUAAACUAGAUACAAAUUGGCUCCACAAAGCGUGUCUGAAACCUAUGUUUCGUAGGAUGAAUUCUAAGAUUCGCAUGGAGUUUCGUUGUUUUGUGUCGUAGCUUUCCGGAAAGGGGUAAACAACAAUUUCUAAAACCACAAAGCAGCGUGAGAUCAAACUCACUUAUUCACUUAUUUGGUGUACAGAUUUUACUUUUAUAAAAGCAUACAAUAAAAGUAUCUGAUCACUUGCAUUAUAUUC